rnacentral:rRNA from 1 species
AACGAACGCUGGCGGUAUGCUUUACACAUGCAAGUCGAACGGGCAAGAGCCGUAGCAAUACGGAGUUCUGCUAGUGGCAAACGGGUGAGUAACGCGGGGGAAACUACCUUAUAGUACGGAAUAGCCCCGGGAAACUGGGAUUAAUACCGGAUACGCUCUUCGGAGGAAAGAUUUAUCGCUAUAAGAUGUGCCCGCGUUAGAUUAGCUUGUUGGUGGGGUAAUGGCUCACCAGGCGACGAUCUAUAGCUGGUUUGAGAGGAUGAUCAGCCACACUGGAACUGAGACACGGUCCAGACUUCUACGGGAGGCAGCAGUGGGGAAUAUUGGACAAUGGGCGAAAGCCUGAUCCAGCAAUACCGCGUGAGUGAUGAAGGCCUUAGGGUUGUAAAACUCUUUCAGUGGGGAAGAUAAUGACGGUACCCACAGAAGAAGCACCGGCUAACUCCGUGCCAGCCGCCGCAGUAA